rnacentral:rRNA from 1 species
UUGUCCGGAUUUAUUGGGCGUAAAGCGAGCGCAGGCGGUUUGAUAAGUCUGAAGUUAAAGGCUGUGGCUCAACCAUAGUUCGCUUUGGAAACUGUCAAACUUGAGUGCAGAAGGGGAGAGUGGAAUUCCAUGUGUAGCGGUGAAAUGCGUAGAUAUAUGGAGGAACACCGGUGGCGAAAGCGGCUCUCUGGUCUGUAACUGACGCUGAGGCUCGAAAGCGUGGGGAGCGAACAGGAUUAGAUACCCUGGUAGUCCACGCCGUAAACGAUGAGUGCUAGGUGUUGGAUCCUUUCCGGGAUUCAGUGCCGCAGCUA